CUCACAUGUGGAGACUCUACUCUCUUCUCAUUGGCUCACAGACCUGAAGGUGUCUUUUUCGGCUGAUUAAUUUACCUAAAAACUGCAGAUAUACUGCACUGAACACUCAGUGUAACCUCCCGUUUAUCUUGUCAUUGUGUUUCCUGUUUUGUUUUGAAGUACUAACUCUCCUGUCGUUUCAGUUCCUGCCCUGGUGUUUCCCCGGCCCCUAAUCACCACACCUGUGCCCUGUUACCUGCCCCUGGAUCCUCCCUCAGCAAACCCCUUAUAUACCUUGCUGUGUUCUCUGCUCUUUGCCAGAUUGUCUUUGUUCUACCUCGUGUGUUCAUCACUCUCCAGCAUUACUAAUGUUUGUGUCUUUGGUUUUUGGACUUUGCCUGCUCGCCUUGGACUGAAUUCCCGCGCAGGACCCCCGGCUCUUCAGUAAAGUCUGACCUUUGAACUUUACUCUAUGUCCUGUGCUUUUCAGUCUCUUGCCAGAAUCGUUACAGUACAAUCUGGCCAUGACAGUCUCAGGGGAAGAGACUAUACCACCACGAGCACAUGCUAACGAGUUUGGUCGGCGGUGUCCAAGAGUCUCAACCCUCAACCUUCAGCAGACCCAGCGUCCCCUGUCUCCCCUGCUCUACAGCAUACCGCUGCUUCGGUGAGUCUACCUAGUCCCCGUCCUGAACCCUGGGCGCCACAUGUGGAAAGGUACGAUGGUGAUGUGCUCUCUGCAGGUUUUUAACUGUUCCCUCACCUUCGAGCUCCAGCCCCGGUCUUACCCUACUGAGUGCCUCAGAGUGGCGUUCGUGAUCACCAAACUCUCGGGGAGAGCACGGGAAUGGGCUACAGCAGAAUGGGACAAACAAUUCCCUGUUUGCCGUUCUGUUUUGGACUUUUCUGGGGCUGGCCGGUGCCCUCUGAACACAAGCAAGUACAGAGAUUUCUGGUGUUUGCUAACUUUUAUAGACUGUUAAUCAGAUACUACAGUUUUGUUGCUGCUCCUCUGCAUACCCUUACCUCCCCAGGCACCAAGUUCCAGUGGUCCCCCCCCCCCCUCAAUCUGAACAGGCUUUUCGGACUCAAGGAACGGUUCGCCUCCGCAUCCAUACUUCACCCUCACCUUGCUGGACUCCAAGCUCCAGUUCAUAGUCGACUGGUUCUUCGGACGCUCAGCCUCCUCAGACAGCGCUUCUGAUGGCCCUCCCUGGAGGAGGACGCAAGGGAAUCGCUGCUUAUCAAAUUCGUGCCCAAAAUAAAAUGUCCCGCCAGUGUCCGACUGGAUUAUUGCAUCCCCCCCUCCCAGUACCACGGUGGCCUUGGUCCCACAUCUCGCUGGACUUCGUCACUGGACUGCCCCAGUCUGCAGAUGGCGGAGGUUAUGCUCUGCCAUGUUUUUCAGUUACAUGGCCUUGCCCAGGAUGUGGUGUCCAACUGGGGUCCCCAGUUAACCUGUGGAACUCCUUCCAGAAACAAGAGGCUAAUUGGGGCCACAGCAAGUCUCUAUUCUGGCUUCCACCCCCAGUCCAAUGGUCGGACUGAAUGCUACAACCAGGAGAUGGAGACAGGGCUUCGUUGUAUGGCCUCACAGAAUCCCACCUCAUGGCGCCGACAGUUAUUAUGGGUAGAAUAUGCUAAUAACUCUCACUUUCCAGUGCAUGUACAGUUAUCUGCCACCCUUCUCCCAGAUCUGGAAGAGGAGACAACGGUAUCAUCUACUCAGGCACUAGUGUCAUUGCCACUUCACCUGGAGGAAGGCUGGGACCUUCAUGUCUCGAAGGUCAAGACGAGCACCUUGGUUCCCCCCUCCACCCCCUAGGUCAUUGUCUACACGGUAAAACGUCUGCUGUAGAGGCUGGGGUCGCCAAUAUCUGGUUGACUGGGAGGGACACGGGCUGGAGGUUUCCACAUGGGACAUUCUGGACCCAUCCCUCAGGGCCUCCCAUCAGCACCCCCUGGACCAACCUGGGACAUAAGGAGCCGUCCUUAAAAGAGGGGGGGGGCACUGUAACAUCCUGUUAAUCUUGUCCAUUGUGUUUCCUGUUUAGUUUUGAAGUACUAACUCUCCUGUCAUUUCAGUUCCUGCCCUGGUGUUUCCCCUGCUCACCACACCUGUGCCCUGUUACCUGCCCCUGGAUCCUCCCUCAGCAAACCCCUUAUAUACCUUGCUGUGUUCUCUGCUGUUUGCCAGAUUGUCUUUGUCCUACUUCGUGUGUUCAUCGUUCUCCAGCAUUACUAAUGUUUGUCUUCGGUUUUUGGACUUUUGUCUUGUUUCUUGAUUACUUGUCUGAUUGGUUUGCUUGUCUUGGCCUGAAUUCCUGUGCAGGACCCGUGGCUCUCGAGUAAAGACUGCCCUUUGAACUCUACUGUGUGCUUAUCUUGGCAUCGGAGUCCCUGCUUUACCAGAGUCGUUGUACAGAGAAACUGCAGUAUCGACCAACUCGGCUAUCUGAUCCGUUUUAACUUUAUUUACAGUCCAUCCAGCUUAUAGGAAUCAAAUGUUUGUGUGCUUGGCUGAGUUUCUAGCUGGCAGAAUAUUGGGUUUUAUAUUGAAUUCAAUAUAAUUAAUUUAAAAUUAAUACAUUUAAGAAUGUGAAUUAAAGGCAGCUUAACCACCAAAUCACAUAAAAUUCACUGGAGUCAAAAAAUGACGGCAGUUACUGAGAUCUGUUAAGCUAGCUGCCUUUUAGCAGGAGUUUAGCGGUUUCUGUUCUCAAUCAUAAAUUUUUAAUUUUUUUUUUUAGCUGCUUUAUUUGUGGAACAAAUUGAAUAAACUGUCAAAACUUUUUUUAAUUUACAAAUAACUAAACGUAGCUUUAGCUAAGGUCUCUCAAGCUAGCUUUCCCUUGAUUAUAGCCCAAGAUGCUCUAAAACAAGAUGACACAUUACAAAGCUGCACCAAUGGCAUGAAAUAGCAUUCACUUCCUGUCUCCUAAGUGGGCGGCAAGUUUUAUUUUGAAUGUCAGUAUUUCCUCUACUAAUCUAGACUUUCUUUAACAGAACUGGUUGUCGCCUGUUGCCCCCCUUAACUAUGAAUAUUUGAGUUCUGGCCUGGCUGUACUGUUUUUGUUUUAAUUGCCACAUUAAUACAGAUAGAAGCCUCAAAACUAUAGAAUCUGGGUUUUUUUUGUUUGUUGCAUUGUACCUGUCCUUUGCCUUAUGGUCUGUUGCCCACCUAGACCGAAUGCUAGCCUUGCACAUGAAGUUUCUGAACAAAUAAUAUCCACAUUGAUUCAACAUACGGUUUUGCAACAGAAAACCAGUCAUUUAAUUUAGUCCAGCAUGUGUCUGGUCCAACUCAUAACUGUGGCAACACAUUAGAUUUAGUUUUCAGCCUUGAGUAUCAAUUCUAGUCUUGGAAAAUGUUUGUCUCUGAUCACCUUUGUAUCAAGUCUACCACGGUGUUCCACGAUGCCCCGAAACAACUUAGCAGAACUAUAC